rnacentral:rRNA from 1 species
UGAGGAAUAUUGGUCAAUGGACGGAAGUCUGAACCAGCCAAGUAGCGUGCAGGAUGACGGCCCUAUGGGUUGUAAACUGCUUUUAUACGGGGAUAAAGUUAGGGACGUGUCCCUAUUUGCAGGUACCGUAUGAAUAAGGACCGGCUAAUUCCGUGCCAGCAGCCGCGGUAAUACGGAAGGUCCAGGCGUUAUCCGGAUUUAUUGGGUUUAAAGGGAGCGUAGGCUGUUUGUUAAGCGUGUUGUGAAAUGUAAGAGCUCAACUUUUAGAUUGCAGCGCGAACUGGCAGACUUGAGUGCGCACAACGUAGGCGGAAUUCAUGGUGUAGCGGUGAAAUGCUUAGAUAUCAUGACGAACUCCGAUUGCGAAGGCAGCUUACGGGAGCGCAACUGACGCUAAAGCUCGAAGGUGCGGGUAUCGAACAGG